UACGUAGGGCGCAAGCGUUGUCCGGAAUUAUUGGGCGUAAAGAGCUCGUAGGCGGCCUGUUGCGUCUGCUGUGAAAUCCCGGGGCUUAACCCCGGGCGUGCAGUGGAUACGGGCAGGCUGGAGGCAGGCAGGGGAGAACGGAAUUCCCGGUGUAGCGGUGAAAUGCGCAGAUAUCGGGAGGAACACCGGUGGCGAAGGCGGAUCUCUGGACAGUUACUGACACUGAGGCACGAAGGCCAGGGGAGCAAACGGG
rnacentral:rRNA from 1 species